AACGAACGCUGGCGGCAUGCCUAACACAUGCAAGUUGAACGAGACCUUCGGGUCUAGUGGCGCACGGGUGCGUAACGCGUGGGAACCUGCCCUUAGGUUCGGAAUAACUCCCCGAAAGGGGUGCUAAUACCGGAUAAUGUCUUCGGACCAAAGAUUUAUCGCCUUUGGAUGGGCCCGCGUUGGAUUAGCUAGUUGGUAGGGUAAAAGCCUACCAAGGCGACGAUCCAUAGCUGGUCUGAGAGGAUGAUCAGCCACACUGGGACUGAGACACGGCCCAGACUCCUACGGGAGGCAGCAGUGGGGAAUAUUGGACAAUGGGCGAAAGCCUGAUCCAGCAAUGCCGCGUGAGCGAUGAAGGCCUUAGGGUUGUAAAGCUCUUUUACCCGGGAUGAUAAUGACAGUACCGGGAGAAUAAGCUCCGGCUAACUCCGCG
rnacentral:rRNA from 1 species